GGAAUUGCUACAAUAUUAAAUAUUCAUGAACCAUGCCGUGGCAACUGUUACCUGUCUGUCUAUAAAAAAAUGCUUUGAACUCCUACUUUUACUUUCACAAUAGUUGCUUAAAACUGGGGCAGUCCAAGGGUGCUUGGAAAAAGGUCUGGAAGUUGGUGUUGGAAAAUGUUUGGAUGGUUGCUUCAGAAAAAGGGAAAUGGAGGAAGUAACCAAAAGACAGUGGAGAACAAAUCAGAGCUCCUUGAUAAUCCAUGGAGGCCUGUUAAAUGGGACACUGGGACAAAAAACGAUCUCAAGCAAUCUCUGCAAAAUUACGCACCCACUAUUGAUUCAGUGCCUCAGGCUCGGAUUCUGCUAGUUGGUGCAAUUGGUGCUGGAAAAUCGAGCUUCUUCAACUCCAUAAACUCUGUCUUCCGUGGCAAUAUAACAGGCCAAGCCAGGGCAGGAAUGAAAGCCAUAAGCCAGACA